UACAUUCAAAAUAUACCAUAGAAUACAAAAAAUGCCAACAAACGGGUAUAAGAAAAGUUAAUUUCAUUUGAGUCCUUAAGAAAAUUUAGUAUAAUUAUUCCAAGAAAAUUUUAAUAUUGACGCUUACGUUAUCUAUAUCGAUUUACAGCAAUGCUAUCGCAUAGAUAGUUGAAAGGAAAUUGCAGCUUCAUAUCAUUGGGUUAGAUUUUAACAAGCUCUCAAGAGGCUCCCAACACUAUGAAGCUUAUAUCCAAGCCACUAAUUUAUUUUAAUUACGACUAUUUAUCAGUUGCGGCAGCUGGAAAACCCUUUCACCAUGACCAGAGACCAUAGACCAGAGACCAAAGACCAGAGAGACGUUAGCUGGCUGGCAGCUGUCGAGCAACUUAUUGUUCUACAUUUUCCUCAAUUACCGCUCGAGCUUUUCUCGACUGCUGCUGCUUUUUCCAUGAUUUGUGGCUGCGCUGUUGCGCUUUUAAUUAUUGCGAUUAUUGUGGCAACAGUUUACAGUUUUCAAUUGUGGCAGCAACGACGCCUCGCCUCGCCUUGCAACAACAAACAACACAAUAAAUGAAAAAAAAGCAAACCCAUUGGAAGCAAAAAGAAACAAUUUAGCACGGAAUGAAUUGCUUAGAUAAGUGUGUGUGUUUUCUUAACUUUGUGAAUGUAUCUAACAGUGUCAGCGAGCAGUGAAGCGGCAGCAAUACUCUUGGCUCCAGCUUGAUAAUUAUAAUGAGUCAAUAAUGACGUUCAAUCGGGCUGCGCUGGGUCGGGCCUGUCAACGUCAACGAGUUUCCCUCAGCUAAUCGUUGUCAUAUCUCAAGCUUGUGUCACACAUACGAUAGAGAUACAAAUCAAAUUAUUUAUGGGCAAGCUUAGGGUAUUCAAGCUGCGACUUGAUGAUGUUCGCAGAUUGCAAUUCUUGAUUUAAUUAGCCUGUUGCACAGUUACUUCCAUUGCUCAGUGAAUGAAAAAUGUUAAUAAAACGGAC